rnacentral:rRNA from 1 species
UACGUAGGUGGCAAGCGUUGUCCGGAUUUACUGGGCGUAAAGGAUGCGUAGGCGGACAUUUAAGUCAGAUGUGAAAUACCCGAGCUUAACUUGGGUGCUGCAUUUGAAACUGGGUGUCUAGAGUGCAGGAGAGGUAAGUGGAAUUCCUAGUGUAGCGGUGAAAUGCGUAGAGAUUAGGAAGAACACCAGUGGCGAAGGCGACUUACUGGACUGUAACUGACGCUGAGGCAUGAAAGCGUGGGGAGCGAUCCGG